ACAAAAUGAUUGCAUUUUCAGCAGCAUAGUGUAAGCCAUUACACAGGUCAGGAGUAUUUGUAAGCAAAGUAAACUAAGCAGUAUCCAUUCUGACUAAUUGCUUGGGAGGUGUGAGAAUAAUGGGUCAAAUAGGUUUGCAGAUUCGGGGAAAUAGUGAGCUGGUCACACUGUAUAGCCUGUGACCAACUCCUCAGCUGUUCUUGUGGUUACAUGGCUGAAUAAAAUUUCGUAAUGGGAAGAUAUGCACAGCUCAACAGCACAAAGCAGACCAAACGAACAAUGGCAUUCAAAUGCAGUACUGUGCUGCUAUACACCACUAAUGCGGUCUGCAAGUGCGGAGGCUGUCUGAUUGGUUACUUUUGAAAUAGUUUUUGAAAUAGCAUAACUAAGCUCCUUCAAACGAAAACUGAUUCAAAAGAUAUCACUUGACACACCACUGCAUGCAUAUACCAACUUGCACAACUCCCAACAUGGUUAAAGUUAAUUCGCAACGCUUUCAUUACUAGGAUGCGGCAUGAUCUUGUGAAGGUGUUUUGUGUUUGCGUGCGUGUGUGAAAGCCGCCAGAACAAUAAAAAAACCCUUUGCUUAUCAAACAUGUACAUGCACAAUCAUUUCAGCCCGGAAAUUCUCGGCGAUUUGGUGCCGUUAUCUCGUUUUUUUUUUUCUUCUCGGAAGUAGUGCGAAGCAGCAAUGCGAGAUAUUAAAUAAAGCACUGCGUUCUGAUAGUAUCUGAAGCACUGAUUAUUUUCAUGCAAUCAAACAAACAAGGAGCAUAUGUCAGCAUGAUGAAGGCCGGUGCGGACUGGCACUCGCACACGUGCUAUAUUACAAACGCGCGCGCACAAGUAGAAUGUUGCAACUAGUUUGGAUGUUAGCAAGCUUACUUGCAACGAGAAGAAUUCUGGCGCGAUAAAGGUGCGCUUCACCGUCCUUAUCGGUCCACUUGUAUAAAAUGUUGUCCGGAAGUCAUCGUCAGCCUUGAAUCCUAGGACGUCUUCAAUUUUAACGACCGCUCAUUUGCGGUCAUCCUGAUAAUGCACGUACGCAUGCGUUAUCAUUGUCUCAGUGACUGCGUCCGUGCUUCACGCGCAGUAUACCACCAAACCAACAGAUAGCACAAUUGCACAUCACAAUUGCACAUCAAGGUAAAUUGCACAUCAAGAAUAGAAGCCUCGUGGUGAUGCUACCAUAGAAUCUCUCUUAUCUUGCUCACGUGAACUUCGUGUUGUUAGCAACACUGUAUGGCGUUUAGGCAACAAAAUUGUUUUCUAUGCUUUUCAAGGCAAAAUGUGUGAAGUCAUUUUUAUAUAUAUUUUGCGUUAUCUUUAAAAUUUUACCACCAUAUCAAUUUUCUCACACAUAAUAAUUCUGUUUAACAUUGCCAGCAAUUACUAAUUACACAUUUGUUAUAAGCGAUUACAAUGAAGUUAGGUGACAGUGAAAAAAAUAAACGAAAACAUUUAGGAGCAAGGUACAAUGUCACUUGUUCAUUUAUUAGUAUUUUUGGGUCCGCCGCACCGUUGAGCGAAUUUGAGCCCACCGGCGACCCAUUGCAAAGAUAAAAUCAACAUCGAUAUCGACAUCGGUGGCGUGUUUACCAACAUGCUAAGAUUAGCUCCCGUAACGUAAUCCCGAGCCCUUAUUCCUGUGGUGUGGCACGACUUGCAAUACAAUAAUGGAGCCGCUGAAAAAACUCAAGAAGCGCGGACAUUACAAGAAAUACUUCAAUCCUGGUGCCAAGUUCUUCGUGCCUAGGUCUACAGAUUCAUCGGCGCGGCUCCAAAUGGCAGAUGCAGAAGCGAAAUCUCAGCCGGACAGCGUUUCCUGCAAUCUUAACCUGGAUGACAGCAUAACGACGCGCCAAGAAUGCAGCGCCGAGGCGUCGGCUGCGCCAGUCGGUCACAUUGCAUGGAAUCCCAAGGAGAUCGUGCAGCGUAUGCUAUAAAUCUUGGAUUCUCGAGCACUAAUAUGUGCGAACGUGACCUUCACGGAAAUAUCGACUUGGUAGGGCAUAACCAAGAUGCACAAGACCAAGCUUCUGAAAAAAAAAGAGGACUUCAGCCAGCCGGACGCACAACACGAAGAUUCUUGACAAGAGGAGGAUUUCAGUGAGCCAGAUGCUCAAGACGAAGAAUCUGGACAAGAGGAGGACUUGAUGCAGCCAUAUGCACAAGAGGAAGUCUCAGAGCUAGAAGUUCUCUUUUUUUCGGAUUCUACCUGCGGAGCGCUAAGUUAACUGUUUGGUGAAAUUGUCAAAGACAAAGUUGCAGUCUCAAAAGGUGAUAUUCUGCUCAUGGUGUUAAAAUAUGCUGUCCAACACAGCUUGACAUUUUUCGCACUUAUGGAUUUGAUUGAAAUGAUUAACUUGUUUUUUGAAAGACCAGUUCUUGCCCAUUCUCAGCACAUGUUUAAGAAAGUAAUUGAAGGACCUGGCACACCAAUGAAUUUCCACUUCUUUUGUCCAUAAUGUUGCUUGUACAUAGGUCACAUUGAUCCAAGUUCACCCUUUCAGUGCUUGAAAUGCAACCGCAACAUGUUUCUCAUCGAUCAACAAUGUAUCUUUUUUUGUGCUUUUUGACAUACCUUCACAACUCCAAAAGUACUGAAGGGAUGCGACUUCUUAGACCUGACAGAGCCUCUAGAACCAAAACAUGGUUUUUCAGAUAUUUAUGAUGGAGACCUGUAUCGUGCCUUUGUGGCCUCAACAUCAAAUGCUAGGCAUAGAAUUAGUUUUGUGUUGAUGCAGAUGGCACACCCCUUUUUAAAUCAAGUGGUACUGCAAUUUGGCCAAUUCAGUUGCUUGUCAAUGAACUACCAGCCACACAAAGAAUGCAAAAAGUGAUUUUAGCUGCCUUGUGGUUUGGCAAGAAAAAGCCUGACAUGGUGCUCUUUCAGGACGCAUUUGUUGAUUCUGUAAACAAUCUUUCUGAGAAAGGAUUCAAUCUUGAGCACCAUGGCCGUGCAAAAACUUUCAAGGCCUUCUGCAUUUGUUGCGCUGCAGAUGCAGUCGCCAGGGCACCUAUGCAGGGUAUAAUGCAGUUUAAUGCCUAUCACGGAUGCAAUUGGUGCCUUCAAAAAGGUGAAAGUUUUAAAUUCCACAAAGUAUCCAGUACAACAAACAGUACAGGAAAGAACAGAGCUACAAAUGAUACAGGAUAUGGAACAAGCUGUUGCUGGAGGCAGGCCCGUAAAUGGUGUCAGAACUGUGUCGCCACUGAUCAGGUUGGAGCACUUCAAUAUAGUGUGGGGGUUCGUCCCCGAAUAUAUGCAUUGCAUAUUGCUUGGGCUUGCAAGGCAGUUCUUGGAACUGUGGUUGAAUGAUGCUAACUGCAAGUUUUAUAUAGGACCACAGCAAGGUGUCAUUGACACAAGAGUAAUGGCGAUCACUCCUCCAGCAGAUGUGAAAAGGAUGCCAAGACCAACAAGAGAAAGAAAAUUUUGGAAAGCGGAAAGAAUGGGAGAAUUGGCUCCUGUAUUAUAACUUGCCUGUUUUAGAGGGUUUAGCUGAUUGCUCAUGUGUACUGUGAUAACGUACAGAAGACCUGUACUCAACAAUUGCAGGCGGUAAAGUGUUCUGUGUUCUUGACCUGUCCGCAGCCUAUCAACAGGUACCACUGAA